rnacentral:rRNA from 1 species
UACGUAGGGACCGAGCGUUGUCCGGAUUCAUUGGGCGUAAAGAGCUCGUAGGCGGCUGUUCAAGUCGAACGUGAAAACUCGGAGCUCAACUCCGAGCCUGCGUUCGAGACUGGAUGGCUAGAGUCUGGUAGGGGGAUCUGGAAUUCCUGGUGUAGCGGUGAAAUGCGCAGAUAUCAGGAAGAACACCAAUGGCGAAGGCAGGUCUCUGGGCCACUACUGACGCUGAGAAGCGAAAGCAUGGGGAGCGAACAGG